UACGAAGGGGGCUAGCGUUGCUCGGAAUCACUGGGUGUAAAGCGCGUGUAGGCGGCCUGCCAAGUCUGCUGUGAAAGCGCCUGGCUUAACCGGGCGAGGUCGGUGGAAACUGGCGGGCUGGAGGUCGGUAGAGGGGGGUGGAAUUCCCGGUGUAGUGGUGAAAUGCGUAGAGAUCGGGAGGAACACCAGUGGCGAAGGCGGCCCCCUGGGCCGUACCUGACGCUGAGACGCGAAAGCGCGGGGAGCGAACGGG
rnacentral:rRNA from 1 species